UACAGAGGUCUCAAGCGUUGUUCGGAUUCAUUGGGCGUAAAGGGUGUGUAGGUGGCGCGCUAAGUCGGGUGUGAAAUUUCGGAGCUUAACUCCGAAACUGCAUUCGAUACUGGCGUGCUUGAGGACUGGAGAGGAGACUGGAAUUCAUGGUGUAGCAGUGAAAUGCGUAGAUAUCUGGAGGAAUACCGGUGGCGAAGGCGGCAUCCUGGACCGGCAUUGACGCUGAGUGAGCGAAAGCCAGGGGAGCAAACGGG
rnacentral:rRNA from 1 species